rnacentral:misc_RNA from 1 species
GAUGAAGAACGUAGCGAAAUGCGAUAAGUAAUGUGAAUUGCAGAAUUCAGUGAAUCAUCGAAUCUUUGAACGCACAUUGCGCCCGCUGGUAUUCCGGCGGGCAUGCAUGUUCGAGCGUCAUUUCAACCCUCAAGCUCUCCGGAGUUUGGUGUUGGGGCGCCUGGGGCUUUUCGACCUCAGGGCCCUCAAGUCCAUCGGCGGGACCGCCAGGACACUGAGCGCAGUAGUAUUAUUUCGCUCGGUAGGAUCUUCCACGGCGGGUCGAUCUGGCCGCUAAACCCCCCAAUUCUCACCAAAGGUUGACCUCGGAUCAGGUAGGAAUACCCGCUGAACUUAAGCAUAUCAAUAAGCGGAGGA